CCAGAGGGAGCACCGGCGGUUGGCGUCACCUCUAAUGUUUGGUUUUUAUGCUAUCUGUCUAACAACCUAUUUUUAUAAAAAGACUUGGAUAACAUCUAAAAAUACAAAAGGUGCUGAAAACCAUUCCCAUGGAUCGAGUGAACAUCAACGUGAUUGGUGUGCAGUGGCAUGAAACCCGUGCAGACUAACUAUGACUUGGCUAAUAAAACUAGUCAAAUGUCUCUUCUAUGACCUUCGGGAAUAACGACACUCAAAAGCAGGUUCUCGAGCAUCCGAGUGUGCCGCCGCCAGCGACGACCAAGUGGAGCACUGCGAGGGAAGGAGAGUGCCACUUGCUGUGGUGGUCCACUAGAAGCAUCGACGAGAACAUUGAGGCAAGUGACAAUCCUGGACAUACCACUUUUCCAAUGGGGGUAAUACUCAUGCUCACAAGUGGUUUACUUAUUUUUAGCUUCAAACAUUAACUUAAAGUGUGGGGCUUAAGGUAUAACUAGUUGGUCCCCCCCCCCCCCUUCCCAGUCCUAAAUCAGCUAUUGUAUCAGUAUUGUAUUUCAAUAGAGCAGCAGUAUUAUUUUAGUAUAAUCUUACUGAUUUUUAACAAAGUGUUUAAAUUCUUUUGUGAACCUAAUAGUGGUAGUGGAGAAAGAGUCUCAAGAGUAUUCCAAAAAUGUCCCUUCAGAAUAACUUCAGACUGAUACAUCACUGACAAUAGCAUAAAAAUGUAUCACUGAAUGCCCUAAGAGCACUGUAUAAGACUCAGUUCUGAGAAGGCCGUCAAAGAGGUAGGUUGUGUCGCUCGGCUCCAGGACAGCGGGAGGGUGACGCACGCAAGAAUAUGGACCCUGUCGCUCGAAGUGUUUGUAGGUUAGCAGCAGGUAGUCGCACAAGCCUUGGGGGGGGAGGAGGAGGAAGGGACAAACAGCUCGGGCUCAGAACCCACUUCUUGCUGAAUCAUAUUUGCCUUUCCUGGUGCCCUUCCGGCUCACGUACCAGCAGGGAACUCAGCUUUGCACGUGUAUAUGCUACACAGACAGUGGUUUACAUUCACAGUGAAUAAUUUGGCUGCUA